CGCACCUUGCACCCUCUGGUAUUCCGGAGGGUAUGCCUGUCUGAGUGUCUAUAACAAUCUCGUCCCGAGGGGUAACCCGAGGGGUCGGAGUUGGGCGUUGCCUUGUCUUAGGCUCGCCUCAAAGUCAUCGGUGGCCGAAUGCCCCUGCCUUGCGUGAUACGUUUCGCUCGGGAGGGUGUCUGGAAGCUUCCUCGAACCCGCCGUCUCCGGACGGAUCUUUUGGGAUGACCUCAGAUCAGGUAGGACUACCCGCUGAACUUAA
rnacentral:misc_RNA from 1 species